rnacentral:lncRNA from 1 species
GUAUGUAGACGUCUAUGGCCAUAGGACACAGUUGAGGAUAUUUAUGCCAUACCCCCAACUUUACUGGCGAAACCAAUGUCAGACAGCUUCACUAGCCACGGCUAGUGUCGGUGUGUGAUGUUAUAUGUAUAUGUUUCUUCUCUGGCGUAACCUAGAGUUGUACAGUUUCACCUUCGAGUGAUGGGGCCUACCAUGUUUCUUCACUGGCAUAACCCAAUGUCAUACAACUUCACCUUCAAGUGAUGGACACGUACUGCCUUCGGGCGACUAUGAUACCGCUAGUUGAGUACAUCAUUGAUGUGAUUUA